rnacentral:lncRNA from 1 species
CACCUUGGCUGUGAAACGGGGUGUGUGUGGAGGGCUGGUGGGGAGGGGGCAGCCUGCGGGCGGGGACGUGGAGACGCGCAGGCUGGGGGCGGCGCAGGCGGGCUGAGGGGUCCUGGGCUCGCCAGGGCCUCGUCUGGGGUUAUGACUCCCGCGGGAAGCACGACUGCUUCGGAGAGUUCUCCACCGCCUUCGAGGAGAUGCAGAAAGCCUUUGGGGAGAACCAGUGGGACUGUGUGAACCCCAAGUACAAGCAGAAGAGGCGCAGUUACACGAACUCGGGCGUGGCCUUGCUGGCCGACCCGAAGGUGGCCGUUGACUUCACCCUCGGAACAGCUGCUCCCUUCACUAUAUCAACUCCUUCCAGCCCAGCGAGUACCUGCAGGCCCUGGUGGCCGUGGGCGAGAUCUGCCAGGACUAUGACAGCGACAAGAGGCUCUCUGCUUUGGGGUUUGGAGCCCAGAUCCCUCCCAAGGAUGAGGUGUCCCAUGACUUUGCCAUCAAUUUCAACCUGGAGGACGGCAUCCAGGGCAUGGUGGAGGCGUCCCAGAACUGCCUGCCCAGGGUCCAGCUGUAUGGCCACCACGUGGCUCCCAUCAUCUCCAAGGUGGCCUGCACGGCUGCAGCUGAGGAACGCAGCGGAGAGGCUCCUGUAGGUGGUGGGCGGGCACUGCGGGGACCGCGUGCCUUAGAAGGUGUGCCUGCUGCUGGGGAGGUGGGACCGGAUGGGGGUUUGCAGAGGUUGACAGAGCAGCCCGCAGGAGGCCCUGAGGCAGGGAGCGAGAGGCAGCUGGGUGGCAGUGGGGCUGAGAGACCAGGAGGCCCCAGAGCCAGUGGGGUAAGGUGAAUUCUUGCCCUGGAGGCUGACUUGCCGAGCCCGCAGGCAGCCCGAUGCUUAUGGUUCUCUUGGUCCAAUUGUGUAUACGUCGUUAUUUUUUUUUUUUUUUGUCUUUUUUUUGUUGUUGUUGUUGCUAUUUCUUUGGGCCGCUCCCACAGCAUAUGGAGGUACCCAGGCUAGGGGUUGAAUCGGAGCUGUAGCCACCGGCCUACGCCAGAGCCACAGCAACGCAGGAUGCGAGCUGCGGCUGCAACCUACACCACAGCUCACGGCAACGCCGGAUCGUUAACCCACUGAGCAAGGGCAGGGACCGAACCCGCAACCUCAUGGUUCCUAGUCGGAUUCGUUAACCACUGCGCCACGACGGGAACUCCCAUACGUCGUUAUUUUGUUUGCAUGUGCUCUUGUUUGGUUUUUUUGCUUUUUGAGGGUUGCACCCAAAGCAUAUGGAGGUUCCCAGGCUAGGGGUUGAAUCAGAGCUACACCUGCUGGCCUACACCACAGCCACAGCAACGCCAGAUCCUUAACCCACCGAGCAAGAGCAGGGAUCUUGCUCAACCUCACGGUUCCUAACUGGAUUCGUUUCCGCUGCACCAUGACAAGAACUCCUGUUUGCAUGUGUGUGUUUUUUUGUUUUUGUUUUUGUCUUUUUUAGGGCCACAUCUGCGGCAUGUGGAGGUUCCCAGGCUAGGGGUCUACUCGGAGCUACAGCUGCCGGCCUACACCAGAGCCACAGCAACGUGGGAUCCGAGCCAUGUCUGCCACCUACACCACAGCUCACAACAAUGGGGGAUCCUUAACGUACUGAGUGAGGCCAGGGAUCGAACCUGCAACCUCGUGGUUCCUAGUUGGAUUCGUUUCCGCUGCGCCAUGAUGGGAACUCCUGCGUGUGUUUUUAAUUUGCACAAAUAAUACUGAGCUAAAGGCUGCAUUCUACUCCAGUUUUCAUCCUGUUUUGUAGAUCUGCCCCUGCUACUGUGGGCAUGGCUUCUCUGUUGCUUUCUUUCAAAUUUUUUUUUGAACAAAACCCUGAAAGAAUGGAGGGAGAGCCGGCAGCUUUGGCGCCCUUCCCCGGGACCUCUCCUGUCCCUGCGUGUUCCUCUUUCCUCCUUCCCGCCGUGCGAGAGCAGGCUGACCGCCCCGGAGUCCUCCGGGUCCACCUGCUCAUCUCCAGCCAGGACCCUGUGCGCGGCCGCAGUUCGGCUCUCAGGCCCACAGUGAGGGCGGUUCCCUCCUCCCACCUCGCCCCCGCGUCUCUCUGUCCCCAUCCCAGGCCCCGCAGACCCAUGUCCCAUGUCCGGGGCCCCUGACCGGAUCGUUCCUCUCAGCCCUGCUCUGUCCUCGGGCCGCCCGUCACCCGAGCCGUGCUCACCGCUGUUGCCCCUUCACCCCGUCCCACCUCGAUGCUGCGGUUCCUGAAUGGCACCCUGGCACACGUACCAGUUUCGAGUGACUGGAUUUAGAUCCAGUGCCUUAUAGAACAUCCUGCGUCUGCCUUCGCCGCCCCAGCGGUGGUUCCACUGCACUAGGAUUUGUGGCGCAGGAAAGGGUCACGUUCGGCCAUGUCCCCAUGUUAUGCUGGAGCAAGUCUCCGACACAGAAUUUCAUUUGUAAACAUUAGCAUAAACCCUGAAAGAGAGAAAAUGGAGGCCAAUGCCUUUGUCACACCUGAAACCCAGUGACAGUUCCCCGGUGUGAGAUGUCCAGCCGCCUCGUCCACCAGCGACGGCUUUUCCAGGAGGAGAAGGGUUAAAGGUCAAGGACUUCGACCUGGCGGUGGGUGUGUCCUUCCUGCUGUGAGACCCCCGGCUCCUGUGGUCCCCUGCGUAUGUCCACGAGCGCCCCCUGGAGGCUGCUGACCUUGCCCUUGGGGGCCCGCCCCUCCUGGCUCCUGCGAGG